UACGAAGGGGGCUAGCGUUGUUCGGAAUUACUGGGCGUAAAGGGCUCGUAGGCGGCCAACUAAGUCAGACGUGAAAUCCCUCGGCUUAACCGGGGAACUGCGUCUGAUACUGGAUGGCUAGAGGUUGGGAGAGGGAUGCGGAAUUCCUGGUGUAGCGGUGGAAUGCGCAGAUAUCAGGAGGAACACCGGUGGCGAAGGCGGGUCUCUGGGCAGUAACUGACGCUGAGGAGCGAAAGCGUGGGGAGCGAACAGG
rnacentral:rRNA from 1 species